rnacentral:lncRNA from 1 species
GCUUAAGUAAUAUAAAUAAUGUAAAUAAAGCAAGUAAUAAGGUAAAAAACAAAGUAUCUAAUCAAGUAUAUAAUAAAUGUAUUGCAAAAAAAAAAAACAUAAUGAAAUGAUUUUACAGAAUAAAAAAGAAACAACUUUACUUAAUACAAAUGAAAAAAAAUUGAAAAUUGAAAAAGCGAAAGUUGGUACUCCCAUUAAAAAAAAAAACAAACCAAGUCAUUCAAAGUAACAUUAAUAAUAACAGUAGUAAUAACAGUAGUAAUAACAGUAGUAAUACAUUACCUAAUAAAUUUAUAACAACAAUAAAUAAACAAACUGAUGUAAAAUGUUAUACAAAAAUUAAAGAAAAUAAAGUAAAAGCAAAAAGAGCUAGUUAUGAUUAUAGUGGUCACGAGGUUAAUACUAGUGGUCAUUUAUCUGAUCUUCAAGUUACCGUUAAUAGUGGUAUUUCUAUAAAUGCCAAUGUCAGUGUCAAAUCAGUAAACAAAACUCCAACAAAUCAGCAAAACAAAACAGCGUUUAACAAAUCAAGUGUUAAUACACCAAAAAAUGCAAUAGUUAAAAAAAACACUACGUUAAAAGAAGCAAACAAAAGAACAAGUGUAAAACUAUGUACAUAUAACAAUAAUUUAAAAAAAGAAAAAAAUCAAAAAAAUCAAAAAAAUCAAAAUAAUGAAAAUAAUGAAAAUAAUGAAAAUAAUGAAAAUAAUGAAAAAACAAAACCUAAUAUAAAAGACGUAAUAAGUAACAACCUAAACAAACAACAAAGAGUAAUAACAAACAAAAUUCUAAACACAUCUAUUAACUUCGAUGCUUCACAUGGAGUAGUACAAUCUAUAAGUAACAUUACUGAUGCUGGUAGUCACAUACUUGACAUGUAUUCACAUAAUGUCACUACUGAUGUUACUACUGGUGUUACUACUGGUGUUACUACUGGUGUUACUACUGGUGUCACUACUGGUGUCACUACUGGUGUCACUACUGGUGUGAAUAAUCAAGAGAAUUUGCAAGAUAUAAUCAAUAACCAAGUAAAAAUAUUUGAGCAACAAUUUUUAUAAAAAAGGGAAACAUAAAAAAAAAAAAAAAAAAAAAAAAAAGGGCUCUACAUGUCCAUACAGCAUGUAUGCAUAUAUAGACCGGUUAUAUAAAACGGUUAUAUAAAUAUUAUGUUUUUUUUCCCACUCUUUUUGUCUGUCACUGUUUAUAAAAAAAAAAAAAUAAUAAUUAAAAAUAUAUACAUUUAUUCUUUUUAAAUUACACAACAUUUAUUUAUAAAACAUUCUUUUUUUGUUUUGUUUUUGUUUUUUCUAUUUUUUCUAUUUUUUCUA